rnacentral:lncRNA from 1 species
AAUAAGGUAGGCUUGUGUAAAUUCAUAAUCUAGACCGAUAUUGUUUAUAGUACUAUUAUUGUAGUUCAACAUGAGUUUUCGGACUCGCAGACACCCAGCUUUAAUUUCCAAUGCUUCUUUACUGUCAGACUAUUCAAACUAGUUGUAUAUGUGAAUUGACAUGCAGAAGGAUUUGGAUCAAGUUAGCAGUGAAGCAGGUUCUUUUCUUGCAAGUCUUUUGUUUUACUUCAACGCUCUGCCAAACAGUAGAUGUUUUUUUCUCAACCUCACUGGAAGUUGCUAUUUUCAAUCAUUCAGAACACAUUUGAUAUUCGCCAGUUGAUUACUUUAAAUUUGGUCAUUUCCGAUCAUUUGGGAUAUGAACAACGUGAGGGCGAGAGAAAUUUCCAACGGCUUACAAAAUAACAGAGACAUCACUGAAUAUGGCGAGAAGCCAAAACGCGUACGAAUCACAAAUAAACACCGAGAGUGCAGACCGGUUCAACUUGUGCGAACCAUCACCCGCCAGCUUCAAUAGGGAAGACGAGGGGAUAAGGAAGACCAAUAUGAUCAAAAUCGACCCAACGACAGUCUCACAGCCAGAAAUCAGCAAUAAAUAUCGCGCUUUAUUUUGUUUAUGUUUCAAGAUCGUGAAAAUCUGAGAAAUAAUAAUUUUAUGACUUGUAUAUCUCCUUACUUGCUGUUCCUUACAUGAGUCACCAGAGUGAGUGCGGCAAUGAAUUCUCGGAAGUCAAACAGAUACAGGCCGGUGUACUGCAAGGCUCAAUGGGUAUCUGAGAAAUAUCAGCGUCGAAUAAAACCGUGCGCUUCGAUUCUGCAAAGAGGAUGUGUUUUAGGACCUACAUCACAUCCCUGGGAUGACCGAUACAGGAUCAAGUAAUUCCUCGGUGAAUCAGGACUAAAAAAAUGGAACGUGAGAUACAAGGAAAAGCAUAAAAUAACCCUGAACACCUCCUAAUCUGUUAAAAUGGUCUGAAUAACAGACGAGAAAAUCAGCAUAACAUCAUCUGGAAAUUGUUAUCGGGCAGAAGAGUCAUGGCCUUCUUCCGGCAAAUUGCUAAUUGAAAGAAAGAUAAACAGCACAUCACAAAAAACCCGGAUAGAUUUCCACCCGGAAGAUUCAGUCUUCGCCAGUUCAGUAAUUAAUAUUAUUUCUCGAUAUGAGAAGGCCUGAAAAUCCCUAGAUAAGUUUUCCCCGUUGCAAUUUUCAUCCUUUACUUUACGACCUGGCAGGCCCUCUUUUUAUUUAUUUUUAACGAGUUUCUUUAAACGUCUCAGUGGGAGUCGAGGACGGAGACCAAUUUGGCAACUCGGUUUUGGCGAACGUACCGGGUUUUUAAAUGUUUAAUCUAUCAUAUAAUCUAAUAACGACCGUCAUUCAUUAUCAGAGAAUAAAUCAUUCCACCAAAUACUAAAAAAAUGUGUAUGAUAAAAAAUUGCCUAAUUACAUCGAUCGAUUACAUAAAAAGAAAAAUUUAACCUAAGUUUUCUGC